GAUGAACGCUAGCGGCAGGCCUAACACAUGCAAGUCGAGGGGCAGCACAGAAACAGCAAUGUUUUGGUGGCGACCGGCGGACGGGUGCGUAACGCGUAUGCAACCUACCUUUAACCGGGGGAUAACGGAGAGAAAUUUCUACUAAUACCCCAUACCAUCGAUCAAGGCAUCUUGAUUGGUUGAAAACUCCGGUGGUUAAAGAUGGGCAUGCGUUGUAUUCGGUAGUUGGUGAGGUAAUGGCCCACCAAGCCUACGAUACAUAGGGGGACUGAGAUGUUAGCCCCCCACACUGGUACUGAGACACGGACCAGACUCCUACGGGAGGCAGCAGUGAGGAAUAUUGGUCAAUGGGGGCAACCCUGAACCAGCCAUGCCGCGUGCAGGAAGACGGCUCUAUGAGUUGUAAACUGCUUUUAAACAGGGAUAAAGCACAGUAUGUAUACUGUGUUGAAGGUACUGUAAGAAUAAGGAUCGGCUAACUCCGUGCCAGCCGCCGCCGUAA
rnacentral:rRNA from 1 species